GACGAACGCUGGCGGCGUGCUUAACACAUGCAAGUCGUACGGUAAGGCCCUUUCGGGGGUACACGAGUGGCGCACGGGUGAGUAACACGUGAGUAACCUGCCCACAACUUUGGGAUAACGCUAGGAAACUGGUGCUAAUACUGGAUAUGUGCUCCUGCUGCAUGGUGGGGGUUGGAAAGCUCCGGCGGUUGUGGAUGGACUCGCGGCCUAUCAGCUUGUUGGUGGGGUAGUGGCCUACCAAGGCGGCGACGGGUAGCCGGCCUGAGAGGGUGACCGGCCACAUUGGGACUGAGAUACGGCCCAGACUCCUACGGGAGGCAGCAGGGGGGAAUAUUGCACAAUGGGCGCAAGCCUGAUGCAGCAACGCCGCGGGCGGGAUGACGGCCUUCGGGUUGUAAACCGCUUUCAGCAGGGACGAAGCUUUUUGUGACGGUACCUGCAGAAGAAGCACCGGCUAACUACGUG
rnacentral:rRNA from 1 species